rfam:Rattus norvegicus chromosome 4, whole genome shotgun sequence.
GGGGAUUUAGCUCAGUGGUAGAGCACUUGCCCAGCAAGUGCAAAGCCCUGGGUUCGGUCCCCAGCUCCG